AGCAGGCCCCACGCUCAGCGUGGGACUUGAUCCCAUGACGCUGGAAUCAUGACCUAGACUGAGCCACCCAGGUGCCCCCACUCUUUACAAUCAAGUUAGAAGUCCUGUUUUCUUCAGAGUCGUUUGCAUGUUACAAUUUUUACGUGAGUGUCCUCUCAUUGUUUCGUAAGUCAUAACUACAUAAGGCACCGAGCUUGGCACUUCCACAAAUAUGGUCUUAUUUAAGCCUCAUGACACCCCGGGGAAGUAGGUAGUAUUAUCCCCAGUUUGUCAAAGUUUCUUUAUUGAAGCACAAUAGACAUGUAACAGACUGGAAAUGUGAAGGUGUGCAGUUUGAUAUGUCUUAACCUACGUAUACCCCUGGGAAACCAUGUACAAUCAAGAUAGCGGACAUUUCCGUCCCCCAGAGAAGUUUCCUCACGUUCCCUUAUAAUCCCUCCCUCUGUCUCUCCUUGCCCUUGCUCUAUCCCAAGCGACCAUCACCUGCCUUCUGUCACUAUUGAUUAGUUUACAUUUUCUAGAGUUUUCUAUCAACGGAAUCGUGUAAGAGGUGGUCUUUUGUGUCUGUCUGGCUUAUUUCAAUUAGCAUCACGUUUUCAAAGUUCCUUCAUGUUGUAGCACACGUCAGUAUUUCAUCCUGUCUUACUGCAGAAUAAGAUUCCGUUGUAUGGAUGUCGAUGAGCAUUUGGGCUGUUUCCGCUUCUUAGCGAUCAUAAAUAAAUUAAUGUCGCCGUCAACUCUAACGUCCAUGUUUUUGUGUGGACAUACGUUUUCAUUUCUGUUGCGCACGUAUUCGGGAGUGGGAUUUCUGGCUUAUUCGGUCACUUUGGGGGAACUGCCGGAUUGUUUGCUAAUGUGGCCGCCAAAUGCUUCAUUCCCCGCAGAGCGUUUAAAUAUAUGAAUAAACGGAUUUAGAGAAUGUCAAGGACUUGCUUAAGGCCACACCACUUGGCGUCUGUCGUUUCAAAACUCCAGGCAAGGCGACGCUAAGCUCCUUCAGGAUGAUGUUUCUCAGACUUACUUUCUCCCACGGACGGGCUCUGAACCAGGCUGCUUAGAUCAAAACCACUUGCUGGUUCGUAGCACGAAGAAAGAUUCUUAAUCUCUGCCCUUCAACUUCUCACGUGUAAAAACGGAGCUGAUGAUAACGGAAGCUACCUCAUAGGAUUGUUUGGUGAUGCAAUAAAUUAAUGGCUAUAAAUUACUUGGCUCAAUCCUGGAACGCACAGGGUUCCAGAAAGACUGGUUGUUAUUAUUAGCACCGUUUAUUAUUAUUACUGCUGUUGCUACAAUUUGCACCCAGAACAGCUCAUAAUAGAGGCAAAAAUCAACCCUCCCAGGUAAUCGCACCAACGGGCUGCUCUACAAUAUAUGAAUUGACGUCUGGCUUCAGGAGGAAUACUCGAUUCACGUCUCAAAAUAAUGUGGCGCCGUGUGUACAGAAAUGAAUGAAGGGCUUUCCUACUUUGGGGACUCAGUCUAACGUGCUGGGUCUUCCCCUUUUGGAGGUCGGAGCGUUGGCCGACGGUGACCGACCCUUGCGUGCACAAGGCCCUUUGCAACAUUCCAGUUACGGCGGGUCUUCUCGAGGCGGGCCUCGGAAGUCACCGUUAGCGCCCACCUCAUCUACGACAGGCCUUCUGCCAGGCACCGUGCAUCCAGGGGCUCGUUCAAUCCUCAUAAUCACCCGAACGCGGAGAAAACCGAAGUUCGCAGAACGAAGUGUCUUUCUCAAGGUCACUUAGUACGCAUGAUACUUGCACUGUUUCCAGGGCCAUUUCUCCUGUGCCUCCUUUGCCAGUGCCUGUUAACUAUCAAUUUAAGCACCCUUAAAGGUGAAAUUGCUUCAAAACCCCUUCCACGGUUUGACAGCCUACAUUCAAGCCUUUUAGCAUAAUUGGGGAAGUCAGUGGGCGGGUGAUUCUAGCUUGCUGUAGUAGAAGCCAGUAAGCCAUCUACUUAUCAUUCUGUUGGCGAAGUUUCUCUGCUUUCUUUCCUCUCGAUAACACAGCAGGAUGUCAUUUGCAAGGAUGCCAAUCCCAACACGGUUCCUGCACCUAACUUGCGACAUCAGUUACUGACUGGUUGUGAGAAACACCCCCGUUGUAUAAAUGAGCCCCUCCCCUUCGACACCUAAAUUGUCUUCGUGCCUGUUCUACACGUCGGAGGGCGAAGAGAGGGCUUUCCAAUUUCACACCCCUAAUCCAAUUUACCAGACACGGCGGUUCCUGAGUUUGAAAGCGGAAGAGGAAGGACUCCACCGCUGUCCAGGGUGGACCUGCAAUCCUGUCGCGUGCCACAGAGAUCCCAUUUUCAGGACCAGCCAUCCUCCUUCCUCUGCACACACACGGAAAGUAGAAGGGGUAAUUAUCCCCCAGGAGCACCUUAAUUGUUCCAAUUAACCUGACCACUUUUUGCAAUCAAAGCCAGGCGGAGAAGAGGAAUUAAAGUGAUCAAACACCGUUUUAUGGGCCGUGGGCAAGCCUGGCUUGGAACCCCCGUUCUAAAACUAACGCGCACUCCAGUACUGGACGAGCAAGGAAACGCUGCGGAACCUCACCAUCCCGAGCUACGAGGUGGGCACUGGCCCCACAUUCUAGACGAUGGAAGUGACUCUUCAGUGAACUGAAGUUACCUUCCCGCGUUCACGUUUGAGCUUGUUUCAGGUGUACAAUAUGGUGAUUCAACAAUUCCGUACAUUCCUCAGCGCUCAUCAGGGUAAGUGUUCUGUCAAUCCCCCUUGUCUGUUUCACUCAUCCCUCCUCCC